AGUGAACGCUGGCGGUAGGCCUAACACAUGCAAGUCGAACGGCAGCACAGGAGAGCUUGCUCUCUGGGUGGCGAGUGGCGGACGGGUGAGGAAUACAUCGGAAUCUACUCUGUCGUGGGGGAUAACGUAGGGAAACUUACGCUAAUACCGCAUACGACCUACGGGUGAAAGCAGGGGGCCUUCGGGCCUUGCGCGAUUGAAUGAGCCGAUGUCGGAUUAGCUAGUUGGCGGGGUAAAGGCCCACCAAGGCGACGAUCCGUAGCUGGGCUGAGAGGAUGAUCAGCCACACUGGAACGGAGACACGGUCCAGACUCCUACGGGAGGCAGCAGUGGGGAAUAUUGGACAAUGGGCGCAAGCCUGAUCCAGCCGUACCGCGUGGGUGAAGAAGGCCUUCGGGUUGUAAAGCCCUUUUGUUGGGAAAGAAAUCCAGCUGGCUAAUACCCGGUUGGGAUGACGGUACCCAAAGAAUAAGCACCGGCUAACUUCGUGCCAGCAGCCGCCGCCG
rnacentral:rRNA from 1 species